CGCUGGCGCUGACAGUUCACUUUGUUUAUGAAUCACACAAGCAAGUUUUGGAAGCGGGAAGUGUUUUGGGAGAACUUGGUUGUGGCCAAGCAGUGGAGCAGCGGUCAUAUGAAACUAUUUUCAUGAUGGCAAAAACAGUAUCGUUCCUUCUGGGAAUUUUGCACCAGGAAUUGACCACAGAAAUCACGCCGAGUCAUCGGAACACGGGAGCCGCGCCGCAAUACGGACCAUUUUGUUUUUAGAAACCUCGCUUCAAUACCAACGGCGACAGAAUCGAAAUCGCCAACUAGACUUCUGCUGUUGCGCUGUGCAAUGGACUGCCGUUGGCCUGUUCCAUCAUGUACCUAUAUUCAACUGAAGACCCCAAGGAACAUCCGCCCAUUCGAACGGACUAUAUUUGCUACGGACCCUCUUGUCCCGAAUAAUCGGUAUUUGCCCAAGUUCUUCCAGAGUAUCCAGUGAGAAGCUGACAAUGAACAACUGACGAUGUUGAAUGUUCGUCCUCGUUUUCAACAAAGAUGAUUCAAGGAAUGGAAGCAUACCUGUAUGCGUGAAUGGAAUCCAAUCUACAAAUUAGUGCACAGACUUUCAAACGACCAUUUUUGUACAGAAAAUCGUUUAAAAUUCAAUAGUGGAAUGUUUUCACUACACAGUUCGUACAGUUCGAUUUAAGUCCACCACUUUGUAAUAUUUAUACGAUACUCAGCUGUAAGGCUUGACUUGACGUUUUUAUGCAUUAUUUUAAUUAAUUUUCAAUUAAAUUCCAAGUAAAUAUUAAUCUGUUUUUUUCCUCAAUUUUCGAAUUUAUUUUAUUUUAUUUUAAUUCAAAUUACAUAUAACAAAAUAAAAUCUCAAAAAAUAAACUGAAAUGAAGUAUCUUAAUACUAGAAAUCAUCAUUGUACAUGAAAAAAGGUUAGGUCUCACUAUUGAAAACCUUAUAAGGUUUCUCUAUUUUCAACAUAAGUUUGUACAAAAUUAAAUUUGUUGUAGGUAUUGAAAUUUAAUAAUUAAUUUAAAAUAGAAAAUGAUUGCUUGGGCUCUCUUGGGCUUAAUAAGUGAAAUAUGUUCACUUGGAUUAGGAUGAGUUAGUACGAUUCCAUUCAAUGCCACAACUUUGUUACUCUGCAGAUACUUAUUUCAACCCUUAUACUAAUGCUGGAAUACAUAUCUGCAAAGGAAUAAAGUAGUGAAAUUGAAUGGUAUAUA